GGGAGGGUGCUGGGCCAAGCUGUGGCUGGGAGGCCAUCAAAGACUCCUUCUGUGUAUUAAGAUUUGGAAUUUAUUUCUGAUGUCAUGAUAAGGACAAAAGAAUCUUGCACUGUGUCAGGCUGGGGUAGCUGCUGUGCUCCUGAUGGGGAGAAGGAUUGGUGAGAAAAGCUAGAAUGUGGAGUCCUGUCAUCAGAUGAUGUGACUACAUGGAAUGAGGACUAUAGCUGCUCUCUUAAAAACCUGCAGCCCCCUCUCUCAGCCCAGACAGUUGAGAUAAGUAAACUGAGGCCCAAAGAAGUUAAGUAAAUUUCCCAAAGUCACAAGACAAAGGAGGGGCAGAGCUGUGAUUUGAAGUUGGUGCUGUUUGACUCCAAAGUUGGGAUGAAGAUGCCCUGCUCAAGUUUACAAGCGGUGUUUUCCAGCUCAGCACAGCUCUUCUUCCUCUGAAGGUGCAUCUCCCUACCUCUUGAUCAUCUGUGCGGCAAAUGCUCCAUGUGCAUUUGGGGACCAUCAUCACUCUUGUCAGUUUUGUCCCUCCUCAGCCAUCAGUGAGCUCAGGUGCACAGCAGUAACGGGAAAUAGUACAUGGCAGUGCCUAAAGGGUUAGUGAGAGAGAGACCAGACCACACAGUCAUUCCCUCUCUAGCAGCCAUCUCUGCAUGAGAAGUGUUGGAGGGACAGCACCACAGGGACAGUGCUCUGUGCACCUCUCCUGUCCCAAUUAGAACCAUCACAGUCACCAGUGCCUCUAAACUGCAAGGGACCCACUAGGCAAAGAGAGCAGACUGGGGCAGAAAUGUCCCAUCAUGGGAGCUGGAGAUUGGGCUGUAGAAUUUCAGACUGGAAGUUAGAGUUUGGCAGGCAUCCUUCUCAGAUUUUCUGGAACAGUUCCAAUUUUAUGCAACAUAAUUUUUUUAAAUAAUGAUGACUCAUUAAAAAAACUGUGAUUUAAUUUUUAUGCAUUUAAUAGGACUUCUUAUUUAAAUAAAUUCACUAAUCAACAAAACAAAAAUCUUUCUCAGCACCAAGAGUAGUCACUUGAACUUCAGACAUACAUUCUCCUUAUUUAUAGAUCAUCCUGACUGUAAAGGAACCAAAGAAUAAGUUGCUGAGGAUCAACAAAAUACUUGCGGGGUUGAAAUCACAUACUUCCCUUGACUAAAAGAGGCUUAUCAUCUAUGGUUGUACAGGUUGUGCACUGUACCAGGCUGCAACUGCAAGGAGUCUCUAUUUGUACUGCAGACAUUAUUGAUUUGUAUGUUGAAUACAACAGUUUUAUGACAGAUGGGCAGAUUUGUUCAGUAUAAUCAAUAUACAAUAUGAAGACGAUUUCAAACAGAAUGAAGCAAUGUGCCUUGAGGAAGGAGUGCCUGUUCUAAUUUUCACAAUGGUGUCCUAUAAACCACUAGUGGCCUAGAUUGAAUGGCCAGUUCUAUAAAACUCAUGGGCCUGGGAUUGAGAAACCAAGACUCAGAGCAGUAAGGGGAAAGUAGAGCAGUUACUUGCAAGACCAAGGCUAACCUGAAAGUGUAUAAGGUAACACAUUAUUGGCUACACAUUAGAAUCUCUUGGGGAGAUUUGAAAAAUACUGAUGCCUGGGUUUCACCCCUAGAGGUUCCUUUUAACUGGUCUGGGAUACAGCCUGGGGUUGAGGUAUUGAGGUUCUUCAUGUAACCCUAAUAAACAGCCAAGGUUGAGAA
ensembl:lncRNA SLC7A14-AS1 SLC7A14 antisense RNA 1